UACGUAGGUCCCGAACGUUGCGCGAAUUUACUGGGCGUAAAGGGUCCGUAGGCGGUUUAGCAAGUGGUUGGUGAAAUUUCACGGCUCAACCGUGAAACUGCCUUCCAAACUGCUAAACUUGAGGCAGGGAGAGGUCGGCGGAAUUCCCGGUGUAGCGGUGAAAUGCGUAGAUAUUGGGAGGAAAACCAGUGGCGAAGGCGGCCGACUGGAACUGUCCUGACGCUGAGGGACGAAAUCUAGGGGAGCAAACCGG
rnacentral:rRNA from 1 species